rnacentral:lncRNA from 1 species
AAGUUCUGUGUCUGAAUAUCGAUCUCAAAGUAAAACAGGAUCUAUAGUUCUAGAUUUGUCGGAAAAUUUCAAAAUCGAACACUUUUUGUCCGGAUCAAGCUUCUUCGAUCUCCCCCUUCCGGUUUUCAAAGAAAAUCAAACUAGAUUAUAGUCGAUGAAACAGCUCAUAGUUAUGGAAUCGUUUCACCUCAACAUCGAAAACCCUAAUUACAUCUGCGUUUUGAUUUGAUUCAUCCAGAAGCAAUGGCGAGCUUGAGAGAACCGCCGAACGAGCAAGCCAUCCUCAACAUCUACGAGUCCAUGAGAUCAGAGCUGAGCCAAAUCUACUCCAACAUAACCGACCUCGAGAUGCAAGUCAGCGAGCACUCCCUCGUCGUCAACGCCAUCCAGCCUCUCGACCAGUCAUUUCUUAUAAAGUCUAUGUUUUGUUUUUUAUUAACGUUGGUUACUAUACAGGGGAAGAAGCCUGAAGCGUUUUACUUAGUGAAAGACCCUGAGGUACGCGAGUUUGUUGAGAAGUGUUUAGCUACUGUGACGUCUAGACUCACUGCUUUGGAGCUGUUACAAGACCCUUUCUUACAAGAUGAUGUGGAUGAGUUCGACAUGAGACCUAUUGAUUACUACAAUGGUUAUGAUGAGUUCCUUAGACAGCCUCUCAUCGACCCUCCUCUUUACCAUGAUGAGUCACAGAUAUGUGAGAUCGAUCUUUUCGCGCAAGACGAUGAGGAAGACUCCGACCAUGUUGACAUUUCUAUUAAAGGGAAGAGAAACGGUAGUGAUGGGAUCUUCUUGAGGCUAAGAAUCUCUGAUGCGGAAGGUAUUACACGUUCGAUGUUACAGAUAGUUCUAACGUGUAAGGUCAUGAAAGGGUUUGAACUUUAUGUUGUUACAGGAAGGAUAAGGAACAUAUACUUCCCGUUUGAGACAGAGACUGACACUGCAUGGAGUGUAGCAGCAGAGAUGGUGUCUGAACUCGACAUAACGAAUCAAGAUGUUGCGAAAAUCGCGGAGAUGAUCGAUGCGGAGAUAGCUGCAUUGGUUCCUGAUUGGAAAGUCAAUAACAACGUGAGCAACAGCAACAAAGAAGAAGAGAAAUCUCACCAUUACCAUCAUCAGUUCGAGUGUUCUGACGACAGAAGCUGUUCUUCGGUUCACGGAAGGUUCGAGGAAAUAAGUUACCAAGCGGAAGGACAAGAACAAGGAAGUGGUGAUGUUGUUGUUGUUGUCUCUGGAGAAGGUAAUAACAACAGGAUUCAUUACGCGGAUAUUUGGGGUCUGAGAGAUUCACGUUCGGAUGGUGGAGAAGAAGAAGAGAGCUCGUUGAAGCCAAGGAGAAAGGUGGAAGGGGAGUGGUGGCCGGAGAAUGAGAUAAGGAGAGAGUUGAGAUGGCUUAAGGCAAGGCAUAAGAGGGUUAGAGAUCAUCAAACCAUCUGUGAGAAACCAACUUCAGCUUCGCCCCCUCUUCUUUAUAGGGCGUUCUCACUUCCCGUCGACGCCGUGGAUAUAUGAGAUUGUAAUAAAUUCUAGUUACUAUAUUUUAAAUUUUCUUUUUUUCUUUCACUUUUAAAUUUUGUUAUUAAUCUUUGGUUAAAUAUCCUUCAAACAUUACCUGAACUGGAGUCAGAUCACGAGUCUCUUGUUAUUAUUAAUCUUCGUUAAUAUCCUUCAAAAGUCAAAACAUUGUCAAUCUGGGUUAAAUGUGUGGUUUGGGGAAAAUCCGGUUCGAUAAUCAUAUUAUAUAAAACCGGUUCACUGAUUGUCCUAAAACCGGAUCAAUUUUUUUGUUUUGAACAAUAAAAACCGGAUCAAUGUUAUGCUGUUAAACCCAACCUUGUCUUGUUCUUCCUCUCACUCUCUGCGCCGCGGUUCGUCUUAGAUCUUUUCCUCCCCCAAGCAAAAGCUUCUUCGAUCUUCCUCGUGUCUCUAAAAAAGUAAGUUUCCUGUUUUUUUUUUUUAAUUCUCUAUCUAGUGCCGACAAGUUCUGUGUCUGAAUAUCGAUCUCAAAGUAAAACAGGAUCUAUAGUUCUAGAUUUGUCGGAAAAUUUCAAAAUCGAACACUUUUUGUCCGGAUCAAGCUUCUUCGAUCUCCCCCUUCCGGUUUUCAAAGAAAAUCAAACUAGAUUAUAGUCGAUGAAACAGCUCAUAGUUAUGGAAUCGUUUCACCUCAACAUCGAAAACCCUAAUUACAUCUGCGUUUUGAUUUGAUUCAUCCAGAAGCAAUGGCGAGCUUGAGAGAACCGCCGAACGAGCAAGCCAUCCUCAACAUCUACGAGUCCAUGAGAUCAGAGCUGAGCCAAAUCUACUCCAACAUAACCGACCUCGAGAUGCAAGUCAGCGAGCACUCCCUCGUCGUCAACGCCAUCCAGCCUCUCGACCAGUCAAGAAAAUGCUUCCGCAUGAUCGGAGGCGUUCUGGUCGAGAGAACCAUCAAAGAGGUGCUCCCAGCUGUUCACCGCAACAAGGAAGGGCUAGAAGAGGUCGUCAGGAAGCUGUACGAGACGUUGGAGAAGAAGAAGAAGGAUAUGACGGAGUUUGAAGGUAAGUAUAAGAUCAGGCUAAGGAAACAGGACGAGUCCAAGGAAGAAGGU